rnacentral:rRNA from 1 species
UACGGGGGGGGGUAAGCGUUGUUCGGAAUUACUGGGCGUAAAGGGCGCGUAGGCGGCCUUCUAAGUCGAACGUGAAAUCCCCGGGCUCAACCCGGGAACUGCGUCCGAUACUGGAAGGCUUGAAUCCGGGAGAGGGAUGUCGGAAUUCCAGGUGUAGCGGUGAAAUGCGUAGAUAUCUGGAGGAACACCGGUGGCGAAGGCGGCAUCCUGGACCGGAUUGACGCUGAGGCGCGAAAGCCAGGGGAGCAAACGGG